rnacentral:lncRNA from 1 species
UAAAGCGGUUUGCAAUAAAGAUAAAUAGCAAAACAAAAAUACAAAUCAUUUUAUAGUAGUUCGGUCGUCGUGACCUACAUCCACUUCGUCGAUUCCCCUUCUGUCGAGGCCACCGACAUCCACUAGUGAUCUUCUUUCAACGAGUAAAGAUCAACUGUCCUUUUACACCCCUCUUCUUAUUUUUACAGGUUUAUGAGUCAACCUUUUACAAGCACUCACUCCUCC